AGGAGGAGGUUUUAAGAAAAGGUAGAAAAAAAAUAAAAAGGAAAAGCUCCUCUUAUUUAGUAUACUCGAUUUUGGAUUAGACACUGUGACGUAUCCGGCGCAUGGUUGGAUAAAGAGUUUUAUUGAGAGCAAUUUUUUUUUUUUGGCAUUGUGUUCUUUCUCUUCCUCUCUCUCUCGCAAAUCUCUCAAUCGGAGAAGACUGGAAUCGAAGGAGAUUGAACUGGAAUCGGGUCUUGUUCCCGGACUAAAUUCUGGUCAGUAUGAGGAACACAUGAACCAUGGAGCUGGGAUCUAUGCUGUUCCUGUGCAUCAAUUUGGAGGACAUGUCACUGGUCUUCCUUCAAAUUAUCUUAUCCCUCUCACUUACAAUGUUCCCAUGUAAGUAAUUCUUUUCAAUCUCCCAUGGUUUUGUUGGAGUAGCCCUCAAUACUCGAUCAUGCCAUUGCGUCUUCAUAGCUAGAAGAAUUAAGGAGUUUUGUAAACCAUUGUUUAGUUCAAAUUACUGAUGGUUUCGGCUUCAGAUAAAUUAAUGUGUAGAAAGGUAUAGGCUUGAUGGGGGUUGAUGGUUUGUUUUUUAUUGUUUAGCACUAGACAUCGCACCUUGCGAUUUUGCAGGAUAAAGAAGCAGAGAAAGAGGGUGAUGGUUCAAGGAGAGGGCUUCGGUUCCCUGCAAAUUCUCCACGAACACGAACAAUUGGUUUUAUUUUGUUGCAGGCUUGGCUUGAUAUUGUAAGUCUUUUUUUGCUUAGCUCUGUUGCAGACAAGACUUAACAAAUUGGUAGAGACUUUCACACCUCUUGCUCCUUGUUCUGCUUAGUUGAAGCUCUCCUGCAGCCUACCCAGGCUCUGAUGCAGUUCCAGAUAUUCCAUCGCUGAAGGUGAGACCUUUAGAGCUACCAGAAUCUCAUGUGUGUGUUGUUGUUCUUUGAAAUCUAAAUGGACUUGGUGCCCACGCCCAACCACACUCAGCAAUGGUUCGUGUUUCAGUCUGAUGGUUCAUUCAUUGUGAGCCCAAUCUUCUUGUGUACUUUGUCAUCUUGUAUCCAAAUCUCUGUUUGGUAAUCAUUGUAUCGAGAGAAUACAAUUAAUUUGUCUAAUCUCUGUUUGGUAAUCAACAGUUUGCUUUGUUGAUCUGUUCCAUAUUUUGUUUCUUUUG